GACGAACGCUGGCGGCGUGCUUAACACAUGCAAGUCGAACGGACAGGCCCUGCUUUUGUGGGGUGCUCGAGUGGCGAACGGGUGAGUAACACGUGAGUAACCUGCCCUUGACUUUGGGAUAUCUUCAGGAAACUGGGGCUAAUACCGGAUAGGAGCUCCUGCUGCAUGGUGGGGGUUGGAAAGUUUCGGCGGUUGGGGAUGGACUCGCGGCUUAUCAGCUUGUUGGUGGGGUAGUGGCUUACCAAGGCUUUGACGGGUAGCCGGCCUGAGAGGGUGACCGGCCACAGUGGGACUGAGAGACGGCCCAGAAUCCUACGGGAGGCAGCAGUGGGGAAUAUUACAGAAUAGGCGGAAGCCUGAUGCAGAAACGCCGCGAGCGUGAUAACCGCCUUCGGGUUGUAAACCGCUUUCGCCUGUGACGAAGCGUGAGUGACGGUAAUGGGUAAAGAAGCACCGGCUAACUACGUG
rnacentral:rRNA from 1 species